rnacentral:rRNA from 2 species
ACGGAAGGCAGCAGUGGGGAAUAUUGCACAAUGGGCGAAAGCCUGAUGCAGCGACGCCGCGUGAGUGAAGAAGUAUCUCGGUAUGUAAAGCUCUAUCAGCAGGGAAGAAAAUGACGGUACCUGACUAAGAAGCCCCGGCUAACUACGUGCCAGCAGCCGCGGUAAUACGUAGGGGGCAAGCGUUAUCCGGAUUUACUGGGUGUAAAGGGAGCGUAGACGGUUUGGCAAGUCUGAAGUGAAAUGCGGGGGCUCAACUCCUGAACUGCUUUGGAAACUGUCGAACUAGAGUGCAGGAGAGGUAAGUGGAAUUCCUAGUGUAGCGGUGAAAUGCGUAGAUAUUAGGAGGAACACCAGUGGCGAAGGCGGCUUUCUGGACUGUAACUGACACUGAGGCACGAAAGCGUGGGGAGCAAACAGGAUUAGAUACCCUGGUA